rnacentral:ncRNA from 1 species
AUAAAUUUGAUUAUGGUUAGCGGUCGGGUUAAAAUAGUGUUAUUUAAUUUUAAUUCACUGAGUGGACAAUAGUAUUUAAUCCUGGUAAUGAAUUGCUCGUAUAAACCUUGUACCAGAAUAAUCGGAUAGACUUGGUGAGCUUAUACUCUAAAUGUGUUUUGACCAAAAAUUUUUUUUUUUUUUUUUAGCUGUUUGGUACAAUAAGUUGCUUUUUUUUUUUAUGGUUUGGUUAAUAAGAUUGGAUUUAAAUGACCUAGAUUAGUACCUAGUUAAUCCAAAUUAAUAAGUUUUCGGGAGUAAAGUUGAAUUUAAACCGUAAGAAUAUUGGCGGAUUUAGUAAUUAUCUUUGGAGGUUGAGCUGUAAUUGAGAACCCUCAUUAUCAACUGAUUCUUUUGUCGCAUGUAUGUUCGUUUAUGUGUUUCUUAAAGAUAUACAGAAAAUUUUAUUUCAAUUAUUUGAAUUAAAUGUAAAAACAGAUAAAUACCUGGUAUAUGGAUUAGUUUCGUUUUGACCUACAAUAGUUGAUGCUAUUGGAUAAACUUUAGAGAUAUUGUUUUGAAAUUGUAAAAGACAGUAAAAACUUUUUAAUGUAGUUUUGAAGAUAAAAAUUAGAUCGUACAAAUCAUCCAUCAAUUGCCCAAAGGGGAGUAAGUUGUAGUAAAGUAGGUGUAGGGGAAUCUGUACCUAGUAGUCG